rnacentral:lncRNA from 1 species
GGAUCCCAUGGUCGGAGGUGGUCAGUGGGCAGAGACGGAACUGGGCCCUGAGGCCCGGUGGAGUUUGGUGAGGCGGCAGGUGAUAACGAUGAUGAUGAUGCAGAGUCAAACAGCUGUGUCCCAGGUGCUGCGCUAAGGCCUUCAUGUGACUUGUCUCACUCAGUCCUCCCUGCGCCCUGUGUGGUGGACAUCACCAUCCCCACUGAAGGGGAAACAGGAUCAAGGUCUCAAAGCUCUGAGGGAGAGAGAAGAGAAUUUCUUGGAGCUCGAUUUCUCCCUGCCCCUCAGCAGUUCCCUCCACGCUGAAGGCUGGGUCACACGCUCAGGUCGUAACGAACCACAAAGCUGUUUGGGAGAAAGGGACCACGAGAGGACAUUUGACAAAGAGUGAACAGAUGUCAUUUCGGAGGCAG